rnacentral:tRNA from 1 species
GGUGCGUUAGCUCAGUGGGUAGAGCUUAGAGCUCGUGACCGGGAGGUCCGGGUUCGAAUCUCACAUGAGGCG